rnacentral:rRNA from 1 species
AUUGAACGCUGGCGGCAUGCUUUACACAUGCAAGUCGAACGGCAGCGCGGGGCAACCUGGCGGCGAGUGGCGAACGGGUGAGUAAUAUAUCGGAACGUACCCAGAAGUGGGGGAUAACGUAGCGAAAGUUACGCUAAUACCGCAUACGAUCUACGGAUGAAAGUGGGGGACCUGCGGGCCUCAUGCUUGUGGAGCGGCCGAUAUCUGAUUAGCUAGUUGGUAGGGUAAAGGCUUACCAAGGCGACGAUCAGUAGCUGGUCUGAGAGGACGACCAGCCACACUGUGACUGAGACACGGCCCAGACUCCUACGGGAGGGAGCAGUGUGGAAUUUUGGACAAUGGGCGCAAGCCUGAUCCAGCAAUGCCGCGUGAGUGAAGAAGGCCUUCGGGUUGUAAAGCUCUUUUGUCAGGGAAGAAACGGUGCGGACUAAUAUUCUGCGCUAAUGACGGUACCUGAAGAAUAAGCACCGGCCAACUACGUGCCAGCCGCCGCAGUAA